ACGACUUUGGGGUAUGAGCCAGAUGUCCAGCUACAGGUGUUCAAUUGACCUCAUACCACCCUUCUCAAAGGCUAUGAUGAUGCAGAACAAGAAAGCAAUGGAUGCUGGGGUGAAGGUUUAUCCUCUUAAGUCAUGAAUCCCUCAUUUGUCUUAGACACAUUGAAAGUUGGAGAUUGGUCUGGAGACCACGUGAGCAACGCCAUGAAGAGACCUUCACAAGGAAACACCACAUCAUUCCCACUCCUGGAAUUAUGCCAAGCAAAAAACCCUAUGAAUUUGUCCUGCGCUAAACAACUUGUAUCACAUGGCCCCAAGAAGUACUGAGUACUGGUCAGGUGUCUCAGGGCAGGAGUAACCAGAUACCACAACACAGCUGCAAAGGUCCCUUGGGAUCCAUGCCAUGACCGGUCAAAGCUGUUUUGGUGGAAGGAGGAGGACCUCACAAUAUUAGGCAAGUAGUUUUAAUGUUAUGGCUCAUCGGUGUAUAUAAACAAUACACAAAGGGAGAAAUAUAAUAUUUGUUAGAUUUAAAGGAACACUACAUGUAGAAGACUGCACAAAACACAUAGAUAAAUCCCACUAUUUUUCCAUUAGCACUACCACCAUAGCUAAGCCCUACCCUCAGCUGUCCAUAAGUUGAAAAUGGAAAGGACCAGGAAUAAAUGAGUACAUGCAUAAAUUAGUCUGCAAGACUUCUGUGUUACGGACAUGCACAAAACUCUUUAACUGUCAAACAGUGUAGACAGGUUGUCCUAUAUUUUCAUGUUUAUUGUUUACUUCACUUUAAAGAGCA